UUACUCCUAUUUUAGUCCCUGUGAUAUUCAACUAAGCACAUUUAACCUUCAAUUAAGCAAUUUGUGUGUUUUUAGUCCUUUUGCUAACGGAACCCAAACAAAAUAACGGACGGUUAUAUAUUAAGAAGGGCAAUUCACGUGUUUAAAUCAAUACUCUGUAAGUUCUUUUUUGUAUUGUAUUAUACAAAAUGGGUUAGUAAUUACACGUGUAAAUAAACCGAAAAGCAACACAAAGCACUGAAGACUCCAUUUUGCAUGAAAUCAAGCAUCUAGAGCUCAUCUGACCUUAUAUUUGAUCGAUCCCACAUAGUUUCAGAACAAAGAUUGAUGGCAUAUUUCAUGAUUGGGUGUAUUUUGUUUCAGUGUACUCAAGAUUGGAAUGGAAAUACUACAAAUGGUUGGUUAAGGAGGCCUUGAACGAGAAAGAAGGUGUAUGCAAUAUAAUUGCGAAGUACAUGGAAGACAUACAAGGAUGAGUUGCUAGUGAAUGUCAGAAGAAUUCUUGAUUUUUAAUUGGAGAAUUCUACAACAAAGGGAGAGCAAUAAUUUAUUUGUAAAGGCGGAUAAUCUAAUCAGAGGAGAUAGAGUUUUCUUUUC